ACGUUAAAACACCGGUUAACUUAAGAUCACUGAAGUUAAACAACGUCGAGGCUGGUCAGUAAUUAGAUGGGUGACCGCUUGGGAAUACCAGGUGAUGU